rnacentral:rRNA from 1 species
AUACGGAGGGUGCAAGCGUUACUCGGAAUCACUGGGCGUAAAGCGCGCGCAGGCGGGCUGAUAAGUUGGAUGUGAAAGCCUACGGCUCAACCGUAGAACUGCAUCCAAAACUGUCAGUCUAGAGUCUGGGAGGGGAAGAUGGAAUUAGUUGUGUAGGGGUAAAAUCCGUAGAGAUAACUAGGAAUACCAAAAGCGAAGGCGAUCUUCUGGAACAGUUCUGACGCUGAGGCGCGAAAGCGUGGGGAGCAAACAGGAUUAGAAACCCUAGUAGUCC